rnacentral:RNase_P_RNA from 1 species
CCGGUGGGCCAGGUGGUCGCUCUGCCUUCGGGGCGGAGAGGAAAGUCCGAACUCCACAGGGCAGGGUGCCGGCUAACAGCCGGAAGGGGCAACCCUUGACCAGUGCCACAGAAAACAUACCGCCUGUUCCCGCAGGUAAGGGUGAAAAGGUGCGGUAAGAGCGCACCGCCUGGGUGGUAACAUCCAGGGCACGGUAAACUCCACCCGGAGCAAGGCCAAGCAGGGGGGCGGCGGCCCGUCGACUGGACGUAGGUCCUGACCCCUCGGGUAGGCUGCAGGAUGCCCGCGGCAACGCGCUGGCACUAGACAGAUGACCGCCCUAGACAGAAUUCGGCUUACAGGCCCACCGGACCC